rnacentral:rRNA from 1 species
GAGUUUGAUCUUGGCUCAGAGCGAACGCUGGCGGCAGGCCUAACACAUGCAAGUCGAACGAUCCUUCGGGAUAGUGGCGGACGGGUGAGUAACACGUGGGAACGUGCCCUUUGGUUCGGAACAACUCAGGGAAACUUGAGCUAAUACCGUAUGUGCCCUUCGGGGAAAGAUUUAUCGCCAUUGGAGCGGCCCGCGUCUGAUUAGCUAGUUGGUGAGGUAAAGGCUCACCAAGGCGACGAUCAGUAGCUGGUCUGAGAGGAUGAUCAGCCACAUUGGGACUGAGACACGGCCCAAACUCCUACGGGAGGCAGCAGUGGGGAAUCUUGCGCAAUGGGCGAAAGCCUGACGCAGCCAUGCCGCGUGAAUGAUGAAGGUCUUAGGAUUGUAAAAUUCUUUCACCGGGGACGAUAAUGACGGUACCCGGAGAAGAAGCCCCGGCUAACUUCGUGCCAGCCGCCGCAGUAAG